rnacentral:rRNA from 1 species
AUUGAACGCUGGCGGCAGGCCUAACACAUGCAAGUCGAACGAGUGGCGGACGGGUGAGUAAUGUCUGGGAAACUGCCCGAUGGAGGGGGAUAACUACUGGAAACGGUAGCUAAUACCGCAUACCCUCGGAUGUGCCCAGAUGGGAUUAGCUAGUAGGUGGGGUAACGGCUCACCUAGGCCACGAUCCCUAGCUGGUCUGAGAGGAUGACCAGCCACACUGGAGCUGAGACACGGGCCAGAGUCCUACGGGAGGCAGAAGUGGGGAAUAUUGGACAAUGGGCGCAAGCCUGAUGCAGCCAUGCCGCGUGUAUGAAGAAGGCCGUCGGGUUGUAAAGUACUUUCAGCGAGGAGGCGUUACUCGCAGAAGAAGCACCGGCUAACUCCGUGCCAGCAGCCGCGGUAAUUC